GUGAAUUUUAGAACAACCAAGGCAGAGUUGAGGUGAAUUUUAAAACAACCAAGGCAGAGUUGAGGUGAAUUUUAAAACAUCCAAGGCAAAGUUGAGGUGAAUUUUAAAACAACCAAGGCAAAGUUGAGGUGAAUUUUAAAACAACCAAGGCAAAGUUGAGGUGAAUUUUAAAACAACCAAGGCAGAGUUGAGGUGAAUUUUAAAACAACCAAGGCAAAGUUGAGGUGAAUUUUAAAACAACCAAGGCAGAGUUGAGGUGAAUUUUAAAACAACCAAGGCAGAGUUGAGGUGAAUUUUAAAACAUCCAAGGCAGAGUUGAGGUGAAUUUUAAAACAUCCAAGGCAAAGUUGAGGUGAAUUUUAAAACAACCAAGGCAGAGUUGAGGUGAAUUUUAAAACAUCCAAGGCAAAGUUGAGGUGAAUUUUAAAACAACCAAGGCAAAGUUGAGGUGAAUUUUAGAACAUCCAAGGCAGAGUUGAGGUGAAUUUUAGAACAUCCAAGGCAGAGUUGAGGUGAUUUUUAGAACAUCCAAGGCAGAGUUGAGGUGAAUUUUAAAACAACCAAGGCAGAGUUGAGGUGAAUUUUAAAACAUCCAAGGCAGAGUUGAGGUGAAUUUUAAAACAUCCAAGGCAAAGUUGAGGUGAAUUUUAAAACAACCAAGGCAAAGUUGAGGUGAAUUUUAAAACAUCCAAGGCAGAGUUGAGGUGAAUUUUAAAACAUCCAAGGCAAAGUUGAGGUGAAUUUUAAAACAACCAAGGCAGAGUUGAAGUGAAUUUUAAAACAACCAAGGCAGAGUUGAGGUGAAUUUUAGAACAACCAAGGCAGAGUUGAGGUGAAUUUUAGAACAACCAAGGCAGAGUUGAGGUGAAUUUUAAAACAACCAAGGCAGAGUUGAGGUGAAUUUUAGAACAACCAAGGCAGAGUUGAGGUGAAUUUUAGAACAACCAAGGCAGAGUUGAGGUGAAUUUUAAAACAUCCAAGGCAAAGUUGAGGUGAAUUUUAAAACAACCAAGGCAAAGUUGAGGUGAAUUUUAAAACAUCCAAGGCAGAGUUGAGGUGAAUUUUAAAACAACCAAGGCAGAGUUGAGGUGAAUUUUAAAACAUCCAAGGCAGAGUUGAGGUGAAUUUUAAAACAUCCAAGGCAAAGUUGAGGUGAAUUUUAAAACAACCAAGGCAGAGUUGAGGUGAAUUUUAAAACAUCCAAGGCAGAGUUGAGGUGAAUUUUAAAACAUCCAAGGCAAAGUUGAGGUGAAUUUUAAAACAACCAAGGCAAAGUUGAGGUGAAUUUUAAAACAUCCAAGGCAGAGUUGAGGUGAAUUUUAAAACAUCCAAGGCAAAGUUGAGGUGAAUUUUAAAACAACCAAGGCAGAGUUGAAGUGAAUUUUAAAACAACCAAGGCAAAGUUGAGGUGAAUUUUAAAACAACCAAGGCAAAGUUGAGGUGAAUUUUAAAACAACCAAGGCAGAGUUGAGGUGAAUUUUAAAACAACCAAGGCAGAGUUGAGGUGAAUUUUAAAACAACCAAGGCAGAGUUGAGGUGAAUUUUAAAACAUCCAAGGCAGAGUUGAGGUGAAUUUUAAAACAACCAAGGCAAAGUUGAGGUGAAUUUUAAAACAACCAAGGCAAAGUUGAGGUGAAUUUUAAAACAACCAAGGCAAAGUUGAGGUGAAUUUUAAAACAACCAAGGCAAAGUUGAGGUGAAUUUUAAAACAACCAAGGCAGAGUUGAGGUGAAUUUUAAAACAACCAAGGCAGAGUUGAGGUGAAUUUUAAAACAACCAAGGCAGAGUUGAGGUGAAUUUUAAAACAACCAAGGCAAAGUUGAGGUGAAUUUUAAAACAACCAAGGCAGAGUUGAGGUGAAUUUUAAAACAACCAAGGCAGAGUUGAGGUGAAUUUUAAAACAUCCAAGGCAGAGUUGAGGUGAAUUUUAAAACAACCAAGGCAGAGUUGAGGUGAAUUUUAAAACAACCAAGGCAAAGUUGAGGUGAAUUUUAAAACAACCAAGGCAGAGUUGAGGUGAAUUUUAAAACAACCAAGGCAGAGUUGAGGUGAAUUUUAAAACAACCAAGGCAGAGUUGAGGUGAAUUUUAAAACACACCCUGGAAUGAUAAAGACAACUAUAUCAGAUGGUGCACAGCGAAAAAUUGUGUUAGCCAAUUAUCUGGAAAGCACCGAAAAAUGACUUUGGGAGUUUGUUUACAAGGGUGCUGACAUACUGUAGGGUGUAGUGGGAAGUGCACAUUCAGUCACACAAGGAAGUAUUUAUUUAUUUUUAACAGGAAAGGAAGCAGCUCAAGGGCAUAAAAAAAGUGUGGAGAGAAAAAAAAAAGAGGGGGAGGUUGGGGGGGGGGGGCGCUAAACUCUGCUCCUAAAAGAGAUUGAUGCAAAGAGUGGUCAAGAGAGGUCAGUUUCGGGUGGAGAAUGUAUGCUAGUAUGAAAGCAUGAUUGUAGGUAGUGUAUAAAAUUGACCUCUUUUGGCUAUUCUUUACUAUUGUCUGUUAUGGGAGUGGCGAGUAACAUGCUUUUUAUUUAUUUAUUUAUUUUUUUUCACUCUUGUCGCCCUUGAGCCGUCUCCUUCGUUGUAAAAAAAAAAAAAAAUUGUUUUCCUCAUGCAACAUUUAGAAUACAACUCAUUUUUUUUAGUUAUGAUGCUCUCGAAUGCAAUCUUUAUUCACACAUACAAACACACACACACACACGAGAGUUUAUAGUGAUUUUGCUCAAGUAGCAUUUAGAAAACAACACUUUCUAACUCUUUUUUGUGUUGCUUUCAUUGUAUCAAGAAUCAUUAUGACACAUUCAAUCUUUAGUAAAUUUUGGUGUUUCAGGUAAUAACUGGUCUUUCUCAUUUUCUAUGUGCAUUGCUUCCUCAUAAUGUCAAGAGAAUUACUUAUUACACACAAUCUUUCAUCAUAUUUUUUAGUAUUUCGGGCAAUAACUGGUCCAUUUAAUUUUCUCUUUGCAUUGCUUUCUCAUCGUAUCAAAACAAUCACCAAACACAGUCUUUCUUCAUAAUAAUUUGGGGUUUUCGGGCAAUAAUUGGCCUUCAUUUUUUUUUCAUCAUUCUCUCAUUGUGUCAAGAGAAUCACACACAUAGAAUCAUAGUCACAGGUAUUCAUAGUCACAAUUUUUUGGGUUUCUUGGUAAUAAAUGGUUUAAUCACAUCACCAAAUAUCCCUCCGUCUUACUAACCUUUAUCUGUAAGUGGGUUUUGGGGGUAAGUAGUGAGGGUGGAAGUAUGAGUAGAGUGGACAGGGAUGAAGAUAAAGUGAAGCAUGAAUGAGUAAGUGGGUAAGUGAAAAGUAGGGGUGUAAGUAGGUAAGUAAAUUAGUGAAUGUGAAAAGCAGACAUGAGGUCAUCGAAAUUGAUUACACCUAAUUUUAUUGUAAUUGUAAUCAUAAUCAUAAUCGUGAAAAUAUGAAGCAAUCGAUUACAUAACACUAGUAGUCGCCCCAAGUCUGGUGAAAAGUCGUACAGAUGGAAAUAGAUUGGUGAGUAAGUAAGGUGUUCUUUUUCCUCCGUGGUGUUAUGGUUACUGGACCCAGCCAUAAUCUGCUUUCCAAGGUUCAAUCCGGCCCGGGCAGUCACCGUGCAGUCCACCCAGCUGUUCAUCCUCCCUUUCAGGCUGGGUGAUGAAUGGGUACCUGGGGAAACCUGGGGAAGGUAAACUGUGGUAACCUGGAUGUCUCGCUGGCCCUGUGGUAAUGGACUCUUCCACCACAGACUCAGAGGGCAAUGUGACAGAGAUGAGCAGAAAGGCCGCACACAGCUUUGAUUUAUGCCCUUAACUGUACCUCUGAAGUUUGGUACAGUCAUUAUAGCUGGGUGUGGCCUCCU